rnacentral:rRNA from 1 species
UACAGAGGGUGCGAGCGUUUGUUCGGAAUUAUUGGGCGUAAAGGGCGCGUAGGCGGUGCCACAAGUCACUUGUGAAAUCUCCGGGCUUAACUCGGAGCCUGCAGGCGAAACUGUGGUGCUGGAGUGUGGGAGAGGUGCGUGGAAUUCCCGGUGUAGCGGUGAAAUGACGUAGAUAUCGGGAGGAACACCUGUGGCGAAAGCGGCGCACUGGACCAUAACUGACGCUGAGGCGCGAAAGCUAGGGGAGCAAACAGG